rnacentral:ncRNA from 1 species
AUGAAAGCCGAGGGUCUUUAGUUUCGAGUGGCGAAUGGACGAGUAACGCGUAAGAACCUGCCGUUGGAGGGGAACAACAACUCAAAACGCUUGCUAAUACCCGUAAGCUGAGGAGCAAAAGGAGAAAUCCGCCCAAGGAGGGGCUCGCAUCUGAUUAGCUAAUUGGUGAGGCAAUAGGUUACCAAGGCGAUGAUCAGUAGCUGGUCCAGCCCAGAUUCCUACGGAAGGCAGCA